CUUAAUUUGUGAUCACUAACUGUACAACUGCGCAAAAUCUAUCAAAUUGACCUUCUCCAGAGUAACUGUGUGCAUUAAAGUGCUUGUUUUGUAGAGCGGAAGAAAAAAGGAACAAGUGGUCUUGUCUGUAAUCUGUCUGCGAGGCGCAUGUUAAAUGGUGAGCAGGAGGGGGCAGAGUACUGAGCUUUGUGGUUUUCCUCGGUUGACUGUAGUUGUUUGGUGGUAGGUCUGAUUGUAGUGAGGGCAGGGACGGAAAGUGUUGAUAGAGCUGGUUGUUGGACCUGUAGGGUUGGUUCGGUGGUCUUUGUGAAGGAAAGUUAGGGAUGGGCCGCUGGUUGUUUGGCUUGUCUGGGUUGGGAGCAGCGCUGUUUUGAGUUGACGUGGUGUAGCAAAUGGGAGACCACAAGAUGAACAGCUUCUUCUCCCUUGAGGUGUCUUUUUCUCCUUUCUACAGCAAUCCAGAAAAAGUAGAAAUGCUGCCCCGCUUCAAGAGCUAAGCACUGAUACAGGGAGAGGUGAAGACCAGCAAAUGGGAGACCACAAGAUGAACAGCUCUUCUCCCUUGAGCAAUCCAGAACAAAGGUAGCCCUACUUCAAGAGCCAAGCAGCGAUGAUCUAGAGAGGGUAUGUUGUGGUUCCACUUAAGUUUAUGUCCACUAACUCACUGGGUGUGCACCAACUAACACUGACAAUUAUUUUUUUUUUGGGGGGAGGG